rnacentral:rRNA from 1 species
AGAGUUUGAUCCUGGCUCAGGAUGAACGCUAGCGGCAGGCUUAACACAUGCAAGUCGAGGGGCAGCGGGGAGUAGCAAUACUCUGCCGGCGACCGGCAAAAGGGUGCGUAACACGUGAGCAACUUGCCCGUGACAGGGGGAUAAGCAUUGGAAACGAUGUCUAAUACCGCGUAACAACUUUAGAGGCAUCUUUAGAGUUUGAAAGACACGUCAGUCACGGAUGGGCUCGCGGGACAUUAGCUAGUUGGAGUGGUAACGGCACACCAAGGCGACGAUGUCUAGGGGUUCUGAGAGGAAGAUCCCCCACACUGGAACUGAGACACGGUCCAGACUCCUACGGGAGGCAGCAGUGAGGAAUAUUGGACAAUGGAAGGAAUUCUGAUCCAGCCAUGCCGCGUGAAGGACUAAGGCCCUAUGGGUCGUAAACUUCUUUUGACGCAGAGCAAUAAGGUGUACGAGAUGCACCGAUGAGAGUAUGCGUGGAAUAAGCAUCGGCUAACUCCGUGCCAGCAGCCGCGGUAAUACGGAGGAUGCGAGCGUUAUCCGGAUUUAUUGGGUUUAAAGGGUGCGUAGGCGGGUAUGUAAGUCAGCGGUGAAAUGUACCGGCUCAACCGGUGAGCUGCCGUUGAUACUGUAUACCUAGAAUGCGGAUGCCGUGGGAGGAAUGAGUAGUGUAGCGGUGAAAUGCAUAGAUAUUACUCAGAACACCGAUUGCGAAGGCAUCUCACGAAUCCGCAAUUGACGCUGAGGCACGAAAGCGUGGGGAUCAAACAGGAUUAGAUACCCUGGUAGUCCACGCAGUAAACGAUGAUGGCUAACCGCCGGCGAUAUAGUGUCGGUGGCCAAGCGAAAGCGAUAAGCCAUCCACCUGGGGAGUACGACCGCAAGGUUGAAACUCAAAGGAAUUGACGGGGGCCCGCACAAGCGGAGGAACAUGUGGUUUAAUUCGAUGAUACGCGAGGAACCUUACCCGGGCUCGAACGGCAAAUGAAUAAGUAAGAGAUUGCUUAGUCUACGGACAUCUGUCGAGGUGCUGCAUGGUUGUCGUCAGCUCGUGCCGUGAGGUGUCGGCUCAAGUGCCAUAACGAGCGCAACCCUUGCCGUCAGUUACCAUCAAGUGAAGUUGGGGACUCUGGCGGGACUGCCACCGCAAGGUGAGAGGAGGGGGGAUGACGUCAAAUCAGCACGGCCCUUACGCCCGGGGCGACACACGUGUUACAAUGGCAGGUACAGCGGGAAGGCGCUCGGCGACGGGCGUCGGAACCCGAAAACCUGUCUCAGUUCGGAUCGGAGUCUGCAACCCGACUCCGUGAAGCUGGAUUCGCUAGUAAUCGCGCAUCAGCCAUGGCGCGGUGAAUACGUUCCCGGGCCUUGUACACACCGCCCGUCA